rnacentral:rRNA from 1 species
CCUACGGGAGGCAGCAGUGGGGAAUAUUGCACAAUGGGGGGAACCCUGAUGCAGCGACGCCGCGUGGGUGAAGGAGCACCUCGGUGCGUAAAGCCCUAUCGGCAGGGAAGAAACAGACGGUACCUGACUAAGAAGCCCCGGCUAACUACGUGCCAGCAGCCGCGGUAAUACGUAGGGGGCAAGCGUUAUCCGGAUUUACUGGGUGUAAAGGGAGCGUAGACGGCAGUGCAAGUCUGGAGUGAAAGGCGGGGGCUCAACCCCCGGACUGCUCUGGAAACUGUACGGCUGGAGUGCAGGAGAGGUAA